AUGCUCCCGCACGACGGCGACGACGAUGGCGUCGGCGACGGCGACGGCGACGACCGCCUCUUGGCGGGCGUCCGCUUCGCGCUCGUCGGCUUCGACCCCGCCUCCGAGUCCCAGUACCGGUCCGAGAUGGUGCGGCGCGGCGGCGCCGACGCCGGCGGGCACGGCGCGGCGGGGUGCACCCACGUCGUCGUCUUCGGCCUCGUCUACGAUGAUCCAGUGUGCGUGGCGGCGCGGGAGGGCGGGAAGAAGGUUGUGAAUGAGCUGUGGGUGGACGAUAGCCUGGAUGCCGGAGUGAUUGCCGAUGCCGACCGGGUAUUGUAUAAGCCAGUGAGAGAUCUGGAUGGCAUACCGGGCAGUCAAUCGCUGAACAUUUGCCUGACAGGGUACCAAAAGAAUGGGCGUGAAGACAUCAUGAAAAUGGUCACUUUAAUGGGAGCACAGUUUUCUAAGCCUUUGAUAGCACACAAAGUCACCCAUCUCAUUUGCUACAAAUUCGAAGGUGAGAAGUAUGAACUUGCAAAAAUGGUGAAUAUCAAUCUUGUUAAUCACCAAUGGUUGGAAGAUUGCUUAAAGGCCUGGGAAAUUCUUCCAAUUGAUAAUUAUAACAGAAGUGGUUGGGAACAAGAGAUGAUGGAGGUACAAGUUCAGGACUCCGAAGAUGAAGCAGAAGAUGCUGGCAGAGGUUUAUCUCACAGCAGAAGCAUUGCCAGAAGUGUUUCUGUUACAGGGAUCAGAAUGGGAACUCAUGUUGAUCCUGAUGUCCGCGCAUCCGUUCACGGUAUUACUGUCUCCCCUGGCAAUACCGAGAUUACUGAAGGAAGACAACUGGGCACUUCAGAACAGGGUAGUGAAGAUGUAUGCAUAAGGCCCCUUGAUGUUAGAGCUGACAUACAAAGCACUCAUAACACAAAUGGUGUGACAAAUUCUGCUGAUCCUGAGGCACAUGAUUCUAUCCUUCCUCCUAUUAACUCCAGUGGCAAUGAAAAGGCUCCUGGAGAUCACAUUACCAGAGAUGAAACAAAAGAUGGUGAUAAAAGGCCACUUGCUGCUUCUACUCUCAACACAAAUGGGCUCACAGAUUGUGCUGAUCAUCUUGUACAUCAAGCAACUAUGGUAUCACCUAUUUCAGUAAUCAACAAACACAACAUUGAUGGAGAAUAUUUGGACAAUCCCUGUCAGUUCACUGGCAACAAUGUUAGUUUACUAACAUCUUCUGCAGAGAGUCUCUUGAAGAAAACAUUGCACUCGUCACGUAUGAGUGGAAACGUCAAUCAUAAGGAUGAUGGACCUGUAGCUGAUCUUACUGCCAAAGUUGGUCAAGCAAACAUAGAAGGAACUGCAGCCUUGCUUAAGGCUAAUUUGGUAUCACCUGGCAAUUCUGCGUCGAAGACUACACCGAUCUUAAGCUACUCCAGAAAGCGUUCUCGGAAGUCAGUUUCACCGGGAACUAAUUUAAAUUCGGUUGACCAAACAGCAUCUCCCCAAAGUUUUGAGAGAAAUACACCAAAUGUCGAGUUUAAUAUCUCUGCAUCAAUGAAGAGCAAUGAUAAAAUUAGUGAGCUUGCUGAUGCCAAAAGCCUGAGAGACGAAGCAAUAAAACAUGUGAAUAGAUCAGACUCUGUAGUUGCUCAGACGAAGCGCAGGCUUUCUUCAGCCAGUCCAAAACUGCUAAAUGGAGGCACAGACUCAGCAACUGGAACUGCAAAUAGUCCUUUCUCAAGCAGGGGAAUCGCAUCUGACGCAGCAACAGUUUCUGAUCUGGGGGAAAAUUCCACUGGAUCUCGACCCAUUAAAGCUAAUGGUAAAGUAAACAGUGAUGUUAUUGUGAACCUUACGGAGAGGCAGAAGUCUGACUCUUCUAGAAAGAAGCUGUUGAGCUAUAGGAGGACUUCUUUGAAGCUUGCAAGGUCUUCUGAAGCAGAAAAACUUCCUGAAAUUUUUGAUAAUGAGACGAAGGUAGAGUUACCAGCCAAAGCAAAGGAACUGACACAGCAUGAAGCAGCAGCAGAGAAGGAACGUGCCAUAAGCCCUUCUAUUGAAGUUGAAAAAACAAUUUCAAGUUUCUCUCGUCAAGAUCAGAAUGUAGCAGUGAGCAAUGCAUCACAGGCUAAUAGCAUUGAAGCGGUAGCUACGGACUCGCAGCAUGACAAGGAGGUUUCUCAUGCAACCAUGGAAGCAGGUGCUAGGAAAGUAUCGACUUCUAGAGUGAAGAACGCUGGUGCUAAGAGGCUUCGGAGUGCUACAAAUGGUAGACUCCCAUCAUCUGCAUGUUCUAAAAGUGAGUCCAAGUCUAAGCAUGGUAUCGAGGCAGUUCUUUCUCAUGAAAACGUAGAAGCAGAAAAAGGAAAUAAUUGUACCAGUGUGAAUGCUGCUGAAUGUGGAACAUCCUUUCCUGAAGAAAUCCUGAGAAGUAGAGCAGACACAAUUGCCAAGAACUCACUGAAUGCCAACAGUGAGAUGAAUGAUGUGCUAGCGGCUUCAAAGAUGGAGUUUGCUAAUGUGAUUUCAAAGGGAAGUAACCCUGAAAAACUUCCAGGCGGCGCAACUGAUGAUCAAUUUCAAAGAGGUUCAUCUGAGAAGGGGGCAUAUGCCAUAGCAAGGAGUGCUGUUCCAGAAGUUUCCCAGCCUGCUGACGUAAAGAUGGCUGAUGCAUCAACCGCUGAUAAAGCCGAGGCAGUAUCUUUAAAGUCGAAUUUUUGUGAUGCAGUUCCCCAAGCUUCCACUGAAAAGCUUUCAAGCACUGCAAGUGCUGAUAAUCAUGAAACAUGCGCUCCUGAUAGAGUGCCAAAGAACAGAGUGCGCAAAGCAGUUGCGAAGAGGAAAAUUUCUGCCACACAACAGUAUGUAUCUGGUAGUGAACCUUGCAACACUGGUGGUGUCUUCCCAUCUGAAGCUGAAGUUGACACAAUAAAGAGGGCUGCAGAGUGCUCCACAAAUGCUGGCAAGGCAAUGGCGGAUAAGGAUGUCCAGAGUGCUAAUAAGGAUGGUACAGCAAAUGAAGUUGGAUCAUUUUGCAAAGGUUCCUUCAAGGACAUAUCGGAAGAUGCGCAAAAAAUAAAGCCGAGGAGCAGCAAAAAGAAAAAAGUUGCUGAUGUGAUGGAUGGUUCUACUUACCAUGAGAAGGAGAAUGUACCAUCCAAAGAUGUGGAAAACACAAAGCCCAGGAGCAGCAGAAAGAAAAAAGUUGCAGAUGCAAUGGAUGGUUUUACUGACCAUAACAAGGAGAAUGUACCAUCCAAAGAUGUGCAAAACACAAAGCCGAGGAGCAGCAAAAAGAAAAAAGUUGCUGAUGUGAUGGAUGGUUCUACUCACCAUGAGAAGGAGAAUGUACCAUCCAAUGCUAACCUCUCUCCUAAAUCAAAAUAUGGAACUAGCUGUGUAAGUUCCAAAUGUAUCACAAAAUCGGUACGGAAUGGGAAAGAUGUGCCUGGUGACCACAGUACAAGAGAAGGAAAUGAUUGCACAACCUUGGCCUUGUUGGAACCAACAUGGUUUAUUUUAAGCGGACAUGGCUUACUGAGGAAGGAUUAUAUGUCCAUACUUAGACGCCUGAAGGGAAGAGUAUGCAGGGGUUCACAUCAGUGGUCUUUCCAAGCGACACAUUUUAUCGCACCUGAGCUCCGCAGAACCGAAAAAUUCUUUGCAGCUGCUGCAGCUGGGAGGUGGAUACUCAAGUCUGAUUACUUGAGUGCUUGCAAUGAGGCUGGCAAAUUUGUAGAGGAAGAACCAUUUGAGUGGCAUGGUGAUGGCCCAAACAAUGGCGACAUGAUAAGUUUGGAUGCUCCAAGGAAAUGGCGACAACUAAGGCAGCGCACUGGACAUGGCGCCUUCCACGGGAUGAAGAUCAUUAUAUAUGGAGAGUGCAUUUCUCCAUCAUUGGACACGCUGAAGCGUGUAGUGAAGGCUGGCGAUGGCACCAUCUUAGCGACCUCCCCACCCUACACCCGGGUACUGAAACACGGCGCCAGUUUCGCGGUAGUAUCUGCAGGCGUGCUGGGCACGGACGCGUGGGUCCAGGAGUUCGUGAGCCACGACAUCCCCUGCAUCAGCACGGACUACCUGGUGGAGUACGUGUGCAAGCCCGGCCACCCUCUGAACAAGCACGUCCUCUUCAACAUGCACGACUUGGCAGACAGGUCCCUGCAGAAGCUAGAGCGUUCUCAGCAAGGUGAACUUGGCGGCGCCGGCACUGCAGAGGCGGCAGCUGGGGGAGGCGACCCCGAAAUAAGCUGUUCUGCUUGCGGAUCGAGCAACCAGGAAGGAGCCGUCAUGUUGAUCUGCAGCGGUAGCGGCGAGGGGAGCAAGGCUGGCUGCGGCGCUGGGAUGCAUGCCGAUUGCCUGAACCCGCAGCCUGGAGCUAGAGCUGCUCUAGAUGGUGACUGGUUGUGCCCCAAGUGCGACGACGGGCAUGUGAAAGCGAAACCACCUCCUAGGAAGAAGGCCAAGAAAGGUGGCAGCAGAUCAGGAAAGCCCAAGCGCAAAUAA
rnacentral:rRNA from 1 species